GUUUGAUCCUGGCUCAGGACGAACGCUGGCGGCGUGCUUAACACAUGCAAGUCGAGCGGUAAGGCCCUUUCGGGGGUACACGAGCGGCGAACGGGUGAGUAACACGUGAGCAAUCUGCCCUUCACUUCGGGAUAACUACCGGAAACGGUGGCUAAUACCGGAUAUGACCAUCGGUUGCAUGACCUGGUGGUGGAAAGUUCUGGCGGUGGAGGAUGAGCUCGCGGCCUAUCAGCUUGUUGGUGGGGUAAUGGCCUACCAAGGCGACGACGGGUAGCCGGCCUGAGAGGGUGACCGGCCACACUGGGACUGAGACACGGCCCAGACUCCUACGGGAGGCAGCAGUGGGGAAUAUUGGACAAUGGGCGAAAGCCUGAUCCAGCAACGCCGCGUGAGGGAUGACGGCCUUCGGGUUGUAAACCUCUUUCAGUACCGACGAAGCGCAAGUGACGGUAGGUACAGAAGAAGCACCGGCCAACUACGUGCCAGCAGCCGCGGUAAUACGUAGGGUGCGAGCGUUGUCCGGAAUUAUUGGGCGUAAAGGGCUCGUAGGCGGUUUGUCGCGUCAGGAGUGAAAACUCGGGGCUUAACUCCGAGCCUGCUUCUGAUACGGGCAGACUAGAGGCAUGCAGGGGAGAACGGAAUUCCUGGUGUAGCGGUGAAAUGCGCAGAUAUCAGGAGGAACACCGGUGGCGAAGGCGGUUCUCUGGGCAUUACCUGACGCUGAGGAGCGAAAGUGUGGGGAGCGAACAGGAUUAGAUACCCUGGUAGUCCACACCGUAAACGUUGGGCGCUAGGUGUGGGACUCAUUCCACGAGUUCCGUGCCGCAGCUAACGCAUUAAGCGCCCCGCCUGGGGAGUACGGCCGCAAGGCUAAAACUCAAAGGAAUUGACG
rnacentral:rRNA from 1 species